rnacentral:rRNA from 1 species
GACGAACGCUUGCGGCGUGCUUAACACAUGCAAGUCGAACGGAAAGGCCCUGCUUUUGUGGGGUGCUCGAGCGGCGAACGGGUGAGUAACACGUGAGUAACCUGCCCUUGACUUUGGGAUAACUUCAGGAAACUGGGGCUAAUACCGGAUAGGAGCUCCUGCUGCAUGGUGGGGGUUGGAAAGUUUCGGCGGUUGGGGAUGGACUCGCGGCUUAUCAGCUUGUUGGUGGGGUAGUGGCUUACCAAGGCUUUGACGGGUAGCCGGCCUGAGAGGGUGACCGGCCACAUUGGGACUGAGAUACGGCCCAGACUCCUACGGGAGGCAGCAGUGGGGAAUAUUGCACAAUGGGCGGAAGCCUGAUGCAGCAACGCCGCGUGCGGGAUGACGGCCUUCGGGUUGUAAACCGCUUUCGCCUGUGACGAAGCGUGAGUGACGGUAAUGGGUAAAGAAGCACCGGCUAACUACGUGCCAGCAGCCGCGGUGAUACGUAGGGUGCGAGCGUUGUCCGGAUUUAUUGGGCGUAAAGGGCUCGUAGGUGGUUGAUCGCGUCGGAAGUGUAAUCUUGGGGCUUAACCCUGAGCGUGCUUUCGAUACGGGUUGACUUGAGGAAGGUAGGGGAGAAUGGAAUUCCUGGUGGAGCGGUGGAAUGCGCAGAUAUCAGGAGGAACACCAGUGGCGAAGGCGGUUCUCUGGGCCUUUCCUGACGCUGAGGAGCGAAAGCGUGGGGAGCGAACAGGCUUAGAUACCCUGGUAGUCCACGCUGUAAACGGUGGGUACUAGGUGUGGGGUCCAUUCCACGGGUUCCGUGCCGUAGCUAACGCUUUAAGUACCCCGCCUGGGGAGUACGGCCGCAAGGCUAAAACUCAAAGGAAUUGACGGGGCCCCGCACAAGCGGCGGAGCAUGCGGAUUAAUUCGAUGCAACGCGUAGAACCUUACCUGGGUUUGACAUGGAUCGGGAGUGCUCAGAGAUGGGUGUGCCUCUUUUGGGGUCGGUUCACAGGUGGUGCAUGGCUGUCGUCAGCUCGUGUCGUGAGAUGUUGGGUUAAGUCCCGCAACGAGCGCAACCCUUGUACACUGUUGCCAGCACGUUAUGGUGGGGACUCAGUGGAGACCGCCGGGGUCAACUCGGAGGAAGGUGGGGAUGACGUCAAGUCAUCAUGCCCCUUAUGUCCAGGGCUUCACGCAUGCUACAAUGGCUGGUACAGAGAGUGGCGAGCCUGUGAGGGUGAGCGAAUCUCGGAAAGCCGGUCUCAGUUCGGAUUGGGGUCUGCAACUCGACCUCAUGAAGUCGGAGUCGCUAGUAAUCGCAGAUCAGCAACGCUGCGGUGAAUACGUUCCCGGGGCU